rnacentral:rRNA from 1 species
CACGUAGGGGGCAAGCGUUGUCCGGAUUUACUGGGCGUAAAGAGCGCGCAGGCGGUCGUUCAAGUCGCGUGUGAAAGCCCCCGGCUCAACUGGGGAGGGUCACGCGAUACUGAUCGACUCGAAGGCAGGAGAGGGAAGUGGAAUUCCCGGUGUAGUGGUGAAAUGCGUAGAUAUCGGGAGGAACACCAGUGGCGAAGGCGACUUCCUGGCCUGUUCUUGACGCUGAGGCGCGAAAGCUAGGGGAGCAAACGGG